GUUGGGUAGGGGAGCGUUCUGUAAGCCUGCGAAGGUGGCCUGUGAGGGUUGCUGGAGGUAUCAGAAGUGCGAAUGCUGACAUAAGUAACGAUAAAGCGGGUGAAAAGCCCGCUCGCCGGAAGACCAAGGGUUCCUGUCCAACGUUAAUCGGGGCAGGGUGAGUCGACCCCUAAGGCGAGGCCGAAAGGCGUAGUCGAUGGGAAACGGGUUAAUAUUCCCGUACUUGGUGUUACUGCGAAGGGGGGACGGAGAAGGCUAUGUUGGCCGGGCGACGGUUGUCCCGGUUUAAGCGUGUAGGUGUGUGUUCCAGGUAAAUCCGGUUCACUUUAACACUGAGGCGUGACGACGAGGCACUACGGUGCUGAAGCAACAAAUGCCCUGCUUCCAGGAAAAGCCUCUAAGCAUCAGGUAACAUCAAAUCGUACCCCAAACCGACACAGGUGGUCAGGUAGAGAAUACCAAGGCGCUUGAGAGAACUCGGGUGAAGGAACUAGGCAAAAUGGUGCCGUAACUUCGGGAGAAGGCACGCUGACAC
rnacentral:rRNA from 2 species